CCCAUGUCCGCAGAUCAAGCUAACAGCCCUCAUCCCGCUCGGAUCACUCCACGGAUUCCUCCGCAUCCUCCCCUGCUUCAGCGGAACAGAGGACCAAAUCUUCCCGUCGUAAGCGCUAUCAUCCACGGAUUCAAUUCUUCAACAGAGCCAUCCAGCCAUCCAUGCUUCUCCCCAGCUUGAUGGAUCGUUAUCCCAGCCAUGGGCAACAUUCCAGCGUCCACAUCAUCCUCAACUGUCAGCCACAUCGUCAACGCGAUCAGCCCCAAUCUUGAUCCCGCAGUCAGCUCCAUCGAUCCAGCCGUGCAUCCCGCCCCAACGAUCACGCAUGCGUUCUUCCUCCUCUCCACAC
rnacentral:lncRNA from 1 species